rnacentral:tRNA from 2 species
AGGCUUGUAGCUCAGGUGGUUAGAGCGCACCCCUGAUAAGGGUGAGGUCGGUGGUUCAAGUCCACUCAGGCCAACCA